GUGGGGAAUAUUGGACAAUGGGCGCAAGCCUGAUCCAGCCAUGCCGCGUGAGUGAUGAAGGCCUUAGGGUUGUAAAGCUCUUUUGUCCGGGAAGAUAAUGACUGUACCGGAAGAAUAAGCCCCGGCUAACUUCGUGCCAGCAGCCGCGGUAAUACGAAGGGGGCUAGCGUUGUUCGGAAUCACUGGGCGUAAAGCGCACGUAGGCGGACCAUUAAGUCAGGGGUGAAAGCCUGGAGCUCAACUCCAGAACUGACUUUGAUACUGAUGGUCUCGAGUAUGGAAGAGGUUGGUGGAACUGCGAGUGUAGAGGUGAAAUUCGUAGAUAUUCGCAAGAACACCGGUGGCGAAGGCGGCCAACUGGUCCAUUACUGACGCUGAGGUGCGAAAGCGUGGGGAGCAAACAGGAUUAGAUACCCGUGUAGUCC
rnacentral:rRNA from 1 species